GGCAGUUCUCAGGUGACGCACCCCAGAUAGGGCUCCCUACUCUCUGGUUCCAGGUGCGUCACCCAAGAACAGCU
rfam:Myotis lucifugus cont2.6378, whole genome shotgun sequence.